rnacentral:rRNA from 1 species
GACAGAGGGUGCAAACGUUGCUCGGAAUCACUGGGCGUAAAGGGCGCGUAGGCGGCCACCGCAAGUCAGUUGUGAAAGCUCUGGGCUUAACCCAGAAAGGUCAACUGAUACUGCGGGGCUAGAGUGCAGAAGGGGCAACUGGAAUUCUCGGUGUAGCGGUGAAAUGCGUAGAUAUCGAGAGGAACACCUGCGGCGAAGGCGGGUUGCUGGGCUGACACUGACGCUGAUGCGCGAAAGCCAGGGGAGCGAACGGG